GGGCUAGUGGCGCAGUGGGUACGUUUCACUCUGUAGAUUGCCCUUACUCAACAUCUCCUAACAUCGCAAUAGUAGCGCGUCCGCUUUGCAUUAUAAAGCAACAGUGUGCGGAAGGUCUAGGGUUCGAUCCCCUACUAGUCCA